GAGAAAUCCUCUGCUUGCAGGGGAGAGUAAAGUGGCGCACGGGUGAGUAUCGCGUGGGUAAUCUACCCUUGGAUUCAGGAUAACACUUCGGAAGGGGUGCUAAUACUGGAUAAUAUCCUGAUGGUUUUGGCCAUAAGGAUCAAAGAUAGCCUCUACAUGUAAGCUAUUGUACAGGGAUGAGCCCGCGUACCAUUAGCUAGUUGGUGGGGUAAGAGCCUACCAAGGCAACGAUGGUUAGCUGGUCUGAGAGGAUGAUCAGCCACACUGGAACUGAAACACGGUCCAGACUCCUACGGGAGGCAGCAGUGAGGAAUUUUGCGCAAUGGGGGAAACCCUGACGCAGCAACGCCGCGUGAGUGAAGAAGGCUUUCGGGUCGUAAAGCUCUGUCAAGAGGGAAGAAAGUGGGAGAUGGUAAUACUGUUUUCUAUUGACGGUACCUCUGAAGGAAGCACCGGCUAACUCCGUGCCAGCAGCCGCGGUAAUACGGGGGGUGCAAGCGUUAUUCGGAUUUAUUGGGCGUAAAGAGCGCGUAGGCGGUUUAUCAAGUCAGAUGUGAAAGCCCUGGGCUCAACCUGGGAAGUGCAUUUGAAACUAGUAGACUUGAGUAUGGGAGAGGGGAGUGGAAUUCCUGGUGUAGAGGUGAAA
rnacentral:rRNA from 1 species